rnacentral:rRNA from 1 species
UACGUAGGGCGCAAGCGUUUAUCCGGAAUUAUUGGGCGUAAAGAGCUCGUAGGCGGUUUGUCGCGUCUGCCGUGAAAGUCCGGGGCUCAACUCCGGAUCUGCGGUGGGUACGGGCAGACUAGAGUGAUGUAGGGGAGACUGGAAUUCCUGGUGUAGCGGUGAAAUGCGCAGAUAUCAGGAGGAACACCGGUGGCGAAGGCGGGUCUCUGGACGACUCCUGACACUGAGGCACGAAAGCCAGGGGAGCGAAACAGG